GGUCCAGAGAACUGGGUGUUCUGCACAAUCUCGCGUGGGACUCCCACCCCAGAGAGUGGUGCUGUUGGGAGCUGGGGAUUUGAAGGACGUGUGAAGGAGAAGUCUCGCAGUGGUGUGCUGGGUGCACGUCGUCUUCGUGGUCAUCAGGAGUGGUGGGUGCCAGUCUUGCAAGCCUGCAUCGGUUUCGCCCAGGCUUCUCUUUCAUGCAUUGGUGCUCCAGAGAACUGGGUGUCCUGCAUGAUCUCACGUGGGGCUCCCACCCCGUG